rnacentral:rRNA from 1 species
GAUGAACGCUGGCGGCGUGCCUAAUACAUGCAAGUCGAGCGAACAGACGAGGAGCUUGCUCCUCUGACGUUAGCGGCGGACGGGUGAGUAACACGUGGAUAACCUACCUAUAAGACUGGGAUAACUUCGGGAAACCGGAGCUAAUACCGGAUAAUAUAUUGAACCGCAUGGUUCAAUAGUGAAAGACGGUUUUGCUGUCACUUAUAGAUGGAUCCGCGCCGCAUUAGCUAGUUGGUAAGGUAACGGCUUACCAAGGCAACGAUGCGUAGCCGACCUGAGAGGGUGAUCGGCCACACUGGAACUGAGACACGGUCCAGACUCCUACGGGAGGCAGCAGUAGGGAAUCGUCCGCAAUGGGCGAAAGCCUGACGGAGCAACGCCGCGUGAGUGAUGAAGGUCUUCGGAUCGUAAAACUCUGUUAUUAGGGAAGAACAAAUGUGUAAGUAACUAUGCACGGCUUGACGGUACCUAAUCAGAAAGCCACGGCUAACUACGUG